AGAACUGCCCUUGCCUACCGCCCUACUGCGGGCGCUCCCCUGUCUGGGGGGUGCUUGGCUGGGUGUGGAGAAGGAUCAAUCACAGCUGACUCCUCAGAGGUGACAGCCCCUGCCCCCUUAAAAACAAGAAAAGACCUAGCAGUGUGAAGCCAAACUGCACCCCCAGCCCCGGUGACAUGAGGAAACCGUGAGGCGCUCAGCCUGAGGUUCAUCGUUCAUCUCCUUCCUGCUUGGAAUCAGAAUGUCCUCACUGCUGAGUUUCUCCGUUUUAUGGGAUUACAUUAGUGGACAAAGGAGUGAAGCAAAGCAGCACUGAGCUCCUCCAAGUAAAGAAAGAAUUGUUUUCUGUACAACCUGGAGCUGAAUCAUAGAAGGAGAAGACAGCUUGAAAGAUAAGAGGCCGUAAGGCAGACCACAGAGGAUGGGGAGGAUUUCCCCAGCACCC
rnacentral:lncRNA from 1 species